CAUGUUGUUGAGCACUAUUUUCAAUUUAAUUUGAAUGCGGUGACUUGUCGGUUACGAGCAGAAGGUCAUUGCAGGCUUCGAUUUUCUAUAAUACUAGAAGCUAUCUAGACAGUACUUCAACAGAAAGCUGGAUAGAGACACUUCGUCACAUCAAGCUACGAGAAAGCAUAUCAUAUCAUCAUCUCACCGAAUUCUACUCGAAUACCGCAUCGAAAUCAGGUCACGUGACGUAUAAGAUGGCGCCAAUCACACGGAGAGUGUAUGCUACAUACUUGAUGUUGGCCAUGCUGUGUGUACAAGCUACAUGCCAGGGUGCAUCAGGAGAUGCCAACGAUGUCGAGUCCUGUACAUCACAAGGAGGAUAUUGUCAGGGGGACGACAUGUGUUGUGAUGUAUCGUAUGUCUGUAUUUUGAUGGAGGAGUGUCAAUGACAAUGGAGCUUUGUGCCUGGUUCGUCGUUCAAGAUGUACUUGUGGCACGAUGGGUUAUAUAUAAGUUAUUUGGAGACAGCAUGCUGAGGCCUUUAUCCUGCAGUGGAUCGAUAAUGGCUGAAAAAGAAAGAAAGGUUAUCCGGCGAGAUUCCUGCAAUAAAUUAAUGACAGAUCAUGAUGAUUAAAAGUGCUCAAAGCUAGCCUUAUAUCAAUUGAUAUUUAGAUAUGUUGAUGUUGAUAUAAUUAUUAGGCCUAUACUGCAGCUCCCCCAUACGUAUACUACUGUAAUUAUGGACAUAAAUUUUGGUGAUUGGUGAGAUAUUCAUUUUUAGAUGAGAUAAUUUGAACGUUAUAUCUGUUAGUUUGCCGAUGCCCCACCUUGUCAACCACAUCACAUGAUACAGGGUCUGAGCUAUACUGAACUUACAUCAAACUUUCAUAGACAAUGUAAUAUUUACAAUACUUAUUUAUAAUCUAUUAUUUAGAAAUUCAUAUGUCCAUCAUUGUCCAUACGAAUAAGGAAUAUUGUUUCAUGCAUUUAAAUAGAUCUAUUAUUGCCUCCAUCCCUCCAUCACAUCGAUUCAAUAUUAAAAUUUGAACUUAUUCAUUAGGAAUUCAAUAUUCCUUGCAUGCUAGAAGAAAGAUGAUAAUACUUUCACCCCCUCCCCCCUCAUCAUCAUCAUCAUCAUCAAGUGCCGGGUGUGUUUAGGACAUCGGCUGUCAUGGCCCACCAUUUCUGCUUAUUUUCUGGUAUUCUUAAAGAGCUGGUAUUGCUAAUUACAUUUUUGGUUGCCCAUUUAAGGGUUAAGGCUUCUUAAUAUGUUUUCUUCUAGAUAAUCCUAUCUGUAUAUAUCACAAAUUGCAUUUGCAUCUUUCUCAUUGUGUUGAUGAGUGAUGGUUUUACUCUUGCUUUCAUCUUAUUAAAUAUAUCCUUGCCGUUGCAAUUCUUUUCUUUAUCUCAUGAAUACUUUUCACAUCUGUUUUCUUCGUUUAAAGGAAACAAAUUAAUAAAAUGAGAAGGAAAUAAAUUUGUUUAAAUGUUGAAUCUUCUUUUAGCGUCGUACGUGCCAAUAAUAAUAUUAUGCUCAUAUAUUCGAGGAGUAAUGUUAAACAAUCUAUUUUGAAUGACGACAUAAUAUUGAUAGCAGUCAUUCUAUUUAAAGGCGGGAAUACAUGUACCUUUUUUUUGGAUGUGAUAUCAUCAAUAAAAUGGGACCAGUAUGAUGAACAAGAUAUUGUUUGGUAUCCAGUGAAGACGAGGUGUGAGUAUAGUUCAGUAUAUACCUCACUUAAGAAAUCUAGCCAUCUGAUUGGUCGAAAUUGCAGUCGUGCGGAUUUUAGCCAUUCCCGUAAAGAAACGAAAAAUGCCCAAAACAAUUAAUAGUCCAAGAGUAAAAUCGCGGCAACAUUCCGUGAUGUUUUAACCAAUCUUUACUCGAUAAGGCCAUUAAAGAAAAAAAUAAUAUGUUUAGCGUCC
rnacentral:lncRNA from 1 species